CCUAAAGAUGCCAUCCUUAGAUUCCUUAUUAUAGGGGGGGAGUUGGGGGUAAGCCUCUUGAUUGAAUCAGUGUAGGUCUAGAGAAACCUCUAGAUCAGGGCUGUCAAACAUACAGCCCACGGCUCUUCCCUCAAGUGCUUACUGUGCUGGGAGGAAGUGAUUACAUUUAACUUCCUCCCAGCUCCAAGACAGCAGUACAGGGCAGCAAGAUGGGACGCAGCUGGCACCAGGAACCUGCAGGUUAGAGGGAGGGAGCGGCGGUGUGCUGCUCUGUUUGAGGUCAGAAUUGAGGCACAGGCCCAGUACUCAGAUCCUGAGAGAGAAGAGGCUGACAUCUGCUCCCUCACAUUGCCUAGCAUACUGCACCAGAAGCAGCCAGCAACAUAAAUUGUAGGUUUGCAAUAAUGUGUAUGUGACUAUAAAUAUGCUAUAUACUGUAAGCUCGUUUGAGCAGGGUACUCUUCAACCUAUUGUUCCUGUAAGUUUUCUUGUCAUUGUCCUAUUUAUAGUCAAAUACCCCUCUCAUAUUAUUGUAAAGCGCUACGGAAUCUGUUGGCACUACAUAAAUG